GCUCUACUUUCGACGGCGACGGUGACGAUCGAGAUUCCUCACGGUUUCAAUAACAGAUUCCUUUAUGUGUUUAAUUCCAUUAAUUCAGAGGCCCACUACGAAUUAUUCAUUGUGUCGUUUGCGUCAGCGAGAUCUGUGUUAUCGAGUAUAAAUAAGUCAGAAUUUCUCUUCUUAAAAUCGUGAUCUCUUCAUCUCUCUUCUACUCAUCUCUCUUAUAGUAUACAAAUUCAUUGCUUUUUCUGCACAGUUCCAAUAGAUUUCAUUCUCAUAUAAUGGUCAAGCAGUCUCUUCUACUUGCUGACUUGAAUGUCUGCCGGUGUUCUUCCGUGCCCAGAUUCUGGGAAGCAAACUACCAAUAUAUAGAGGAUAUAUAGUUGUUCUCACUUGAUUUGAUUUUUUCUUUUUUUGUAGGAUGUUGGAAAAGCUGUGUCUGAAGACUUAUCAUAUUCUCUAUGUAGACAAAACCAUGAGAGACAAAACCAUUGGUUAGUUUCCUUUCAUCAUCCCAGUUCAUGGUUAAUGGGAACAGAAUAGUUUCCUUCCUUCUGGAAACAUCAUAUCAUUGGUCACGACAGUGUGAUGGCAUCCACCGUGAACAUAACCAAAAUGAAAAAGAAUUUGUUGUAAUGUACAGUGCUGGAGUGCACACACCUAGAGAAGAGAAUGGAAUCUUCCCAGCUCAGAACUAGGAACCUCACAACCAGUGACUUAGUAAAAGAUUACCUGCAUUAAUUGAUGGGUGGAAGAUCGAGUGUUGAAGAAGAUAUUCUCUGCCAGUUCACCUUCCCUGAGAGACCUGGUGCUCUGAUGAACUUCCUGGACUCUUUCGGUCCACGUCCACUUCCUGAACUUCCUAGCCUUUUCCAUUACCGUGAGGGUGGGGCAGGCGCGGACGUGCUGGUUGAGAUCCAAGUGCCGGAGCAAGAAAUGGUGAGUUAAGAAACCGAGCUCAAGUUCUUGGAUAUGAGUACGUCUUGGUAAGUGAAGACACCGUUUUCAAGCUUCUUAUGCACUGAGUUUAAAGUUGUACAUGGAGAGAUCAAAACCAAGAAGGAAGUAGAAGAAACAUGAGAGGUCUUCCUUGCGGUUGUAAAUCAAAGUAGAGGCGCAUGGGUUCGAGUUAUUUUUGACAAUCCAGUAAAUUAAGGAUCUAAAGACACGACAACAGAAUCUCGAUGGAGUCGAUUAGAUUGUCAUCGCAACAGAAAUAGACAAGAGUUUAUUGGAAUCGAGAAGCUCUUGGGUUCUGUUCAGACAAAACAGCUGCAAAGGGAUUCAGUGAACGGAGAAACUUGGAUGUUAACCAAGAUGGAGUUCUUUGGUGUGGAGAAGAAGAUAAAAUGGGAUUUUUGUUUGGUUUUUGGUUGAAGUUGGGCCAGGUGGAGAUUAAUAAUGGGCUUCAUUUUUAAUUUUGUUAUGCAGUAGUUCACUCUAAAACCAAACUUUGAGAUACUUGCACAAAGACAAGUCGGUUAAUUUUGUAUGUGAAAUAGAAAAAU